GUGAAUCAUCGAAUCUUUGAACGCAAAUCGCACUCUCUUCGGAGAGUAUGCCUGUUUGAGGGUCAGCCUAAAAAAAAUCGACGUAGUCGCUGUUUCGCGGUGACAUUCGUCGGAAAUUGGUUUAUCUUCAACCUUUGGGUUUGUUAAUCGGCUUAAACUUUUCUUUACGAUUCCACGAACGUUUCUAAUAUUUUUCUUCUUACACUCGUUUAUGGUCUCGUUCUUUUUUAUACGUGCCCGUUGCAUCGGAUCGUGUCCAUAAAUAUUUCGUUAUUUGACCUCAUAUCGGUAAGAACUCCC
rnacentral:misc_RNA from 1 species